AAGAAGAAGAAGAAGAAGAAGAAGAAGAGAGGAGAAGAAAAGAAGGGAAGAGAGAGAAAUUGCCAUAGAGAUUGAUUUGCUUGGGAGAUUGCUAGAGGAUUCAGCAAAAAGGAAUCUCUAAUAGCCGUGAGAAAGAUUCCUCGGCACCAGAAGAGAUUGUGGGCCCUGAUUUUCACGAUGAGGAGAGCAGUCAGCUGUAUUCAGAGCAUGAUGAUGUGGUUAUGGAUCAGUUGGCUUGUAUUCCGGAUUUUGUUGAUUUCAGCCAUGGGCAUGACUGCGAAUGUGAUGAUUGUAUAUACAGUGGAUAAAAAUAUUGAGGACUGAUGUAGUUGAUUAUCCUUUUGGCGUAUAUAUGUAGAUAGUGGUGGAAAUCAAUUUUUGUUGAUAUAGGUUAGAGGGUAAAACUUUUGUUGGAAGAUAUUUUGUGAAAAUAUUUGUUUUAG